UACGGAGGAUCCGAGCGUUAUCCGGAUUUAUUGGGGUUUAAAGGGUGCGCAGGCGGGAGAUUAAGUCGGCGGUGAAAUUUUGCAGCUCAACUGUAAAAGUGCCAUCGAUACUGGUUUUCUUGAGUGUGGAUGAAGUAGGCGGAAUUUGUGGUGUAGCGGUGAAAUGCUUAGAUAUCACGAGGAACUCCGAUUGCGCAGGCAGCUUACUAAACCACUACUGACGCUCAUGCACGAAGGCGUGGGGAUCAAACAGGAUUAGAUACCCGCGUA
rnacentral:rRNA from 1 species